rnacentral:lncRNA from 1 species
UUUUAGGAGUGUGAUGAGGAAGUAUGGAUAAUCUUAGGCUUGUGAUUGAAUAUUUACAGGCAUAAUACAGGCUUCAAGCCAGCUCUAAGUGUUUGGCAGCCCAUGCCUGACCGAGGAAAUAAGCACUCAGGUAAGAUGACCGACUCUUAUUAAAAUUUAGUGAAGGUCGUUAGUUUGCUCUUACUUUGUGAAUUUUCCCUGAGUGACUUAUUGCCUAACGUGGUCUGAUAGCAUAAAUAUGGAAUUCUAGUGUGUGUAUUUUGAAGAUGUGCAAAGCAGGCAAGUGGGCAAUUGGGGCCUUAGCAUCACUGUAGCUAUCUCUCUUGAUUAAACUAUUAGCACAUUAAUUAAAAUUACUCUAGGGAACACGAUCGUGGUGUGGGAUAACUGGCAAUCAUGCCAGACCACAGGAGGAGGUGCAGAGUUCUGGGCAGAGCAGCUUUCUGUAGAUGGCUGCUUCAGUAGGUGCCCAAGAGAAUGGCAGGAUAAACUAACGAAACGGAGCAGGGCUGUAUAGUGAAAGUGUUUGUUGUCUGGAGGACUCUGGCUUUGCUUGCUGGAGAAGGCUGGAAAUGCAUAAUGAAUGAGACAGGAUACUCCAGAAAGCCAUAAAAUGGUCUCAGAGGGCAUGUUCGACGCCUUUGUGGGGAGCUAGGUUCUGUAUCUUGCUCAGCCACAGACUUGGUUCCUAUCCCUUGAAUGGAAAAGCUGACCACAACAUGCACACUUCUCAGCUUCUCAUUUUUUGUACGUCCAAGAAAAUGUUCCAGUGCUUUUAGCCUGAAGCAGUAUUUGGAGACCAAGUUUUUCUGCUGGUGAAACAUAAACUACAACACAGAAAGAGAAGUAAAACAUUUGUUUGCUCAGCUCUAGUAACGUGGUGCCGAGGCAUGCCCGCAGGUAUGCUUGUACUGUAAUUGCUGCAGUUGUUAUUCUGAAUUGAAUACUUUUCCUUGCUUGUUUCUCUUCCCCUUCAUGCACUGUAGUUUUAUAAAGCUCAAGUUG